UACGAAGGGGGCUAGCGUUGCUCGGAAUCACUGGGCGUAAAGCGCACGUAGGCGGCUUCUUAAGUCAGGGGUGAAAUCCUGGAGCUCAACUCCAGAACUGCCUUUGAUACUGAGGAGCUUCGAGUCCGGGAGAGGUGAGUGGAACUGCGAGUGUAGAGGUGAAAUUCGUAGAUAUUCGCAAGAACACCAGUGGCGAAGGCGGCUAUCUGGCCCAACAUUGACACUCAGACCCGAAAGUGCGGGGAUCAAACAGG
rnacentral:rRNA from 1 species